AUGUAACUUUUUGACUGCAUCUGUUGAAGCCAUUGAAUGCAUCAUAGUUGUGAGUAAUGACGUUGCAGGUCAGUGAAGAAAACAUUGAAGCUGCUCGGUUUGGCCAACGUCUCGAUGCGGGCAGCAAUUUUUUCCCCCCUUCAAACUCCCCUUGCCCAUGCAGCUUGCAUCCAAGAGGGAAUAAAAGGAGCCAGUCAGCGGAAAAUAGCUGUUGAGGUUUUGCUUUUAUAGGAGGAAAAUAAUUCAAAGGCUGUCUGGGAUUACAGUAAGGUGAGUGGAGCAUGAUGCUCAGUGGUGAGGUUUCCACUGAUGUAUCAUUGCCACCUUAUGUCUGAGAAUGUCUUUCCUAAUGGUUCAAAUUGUGCUGCAAAUUUGUGAAAAAUGACAUUUGAGUUAUUUCCAACAUGUGCACAACAUCUGAAGACACUUGAGGCCCAAAUUGGUGCGUUGAGUCAUGACGGUGACUUAAUGAUCUAAAAUAGGCAACUUUCUAAUCAUAGUGUUGUUUGAUGGCCGUCCUGGAAAAUGUCAGACAUAAUUGGCAUGCAUGGCCAACUAUGUUUGUUCCAAUUCUUGUGUGUGAUGAGAGGCUGCAUACAGGAAGUAAGUACUCCCUUCACAUUUUAGCAAGAAAUGUAUGGUAUCCUCAAGGAACAAUACCAUAGGAAUUCAUCUCUGUGUUGAGUAGUUUUCAGUGGAGAGUAAAUCUACACUGCUAUACAAGCUGUACAAUGACUACUCUAGAGUAUAUCCCAAGUUUGCUUUCUAUAGUAUUGUCCCUUCAGAAGAUGUAUUGUAAUAAAAAUCCUUGCUGAAACGACAGGGCUUGCACUUUUGGUAACAUUAACAGUGGCACCGAGUGUGCACGUCAGGCUUCUUUUCUGCCCCGUUAGCCUUGACGUUUCCCUCCUACACGGCCGUGCUGGUGUGCGGGUGUUAGAUUCCUCAGGUGUGCACCACCAGCCGCCGCCGCAGCCCCACAAGGCACCAUUCAGACCAGGUCACAGGUACGCAAUUAAUGCAGUCACCUUUUGCACCAAUUCCUGAUACACCAGAGCUGAUGAUGCUGUGAUCCCUUUUGUAAAGUGAAUUACACUGAUACAUCUGACUUUUUAUAUAACAAUAAUAGGCAUAAAUGCAUGUUUGAUAACCAGAAAACCACAGUCUACUUUGGCUUAAUUUAUGAUUUUUUUAAAAACUUGAAUUACAUAACUUUUACUGAAAGCUGCACAAAAUUGUAACUUAUGAUUAAUUAUAACAUUUCAGAACAGAAUGCCAGCAAUGUUGACUUUGCACUUGGAUCUGCUGCUCCACAUUGCAGGAUAAAGGACAGGGAGAGUCGAUUAACGGGCUGUUUGUUGCUAGGCAGAAUUUUGUUUUCUUAGCAGACAGCUCCACAAAGAAAAAAGGACAUGGAAAGUCAACAGGACCAUUGAAAAGUUGAUUCACAUAAUUUGCAUUUUGCUUGGACUCCAUACGUUUUUUUCACCACAGUGCCAUCUGCUGGAUUUGGUGAGGUACUACCCCACUUUGGCAUUGGCGGGAAAGCAUUCUGAAUAUGUUGCAAGUGGUUUUUGAACCCCCCCAGAUAAUAAAAUAAAAGCAAAAACUUACUUCUUUAAAAAAUGUGCUGUUGUAAGUUCAGGCUCCUACAUUUGGAAGUUUCCCCGUGCAGGAUAAAUAUACGUCAUGCCGACAUCUCCACAACCCCAACCCCCCGCCCCCCAAGUCCCUCCACUCCUCUGCGCCGUGGCUUGUCAAGCAUGCGCCAUCUCCAUCCCAAAGUGGGCAGUUCGGGAUUUCUGCCUUGACUUUUAACUCCUUUCCGCUCUCCCGGACCUGCCGAGUGGGUCGGACACACCAGAAGCAGCUCCCUCCACAAGCUGCAACGCGGUGCAACUAGAGACGCUUUUACCCCCAAGAGGACAGUCGCACUGCAGCAAAUAGAGAAGUGGGCACUUUUGGAAAAAGAUGCUGCUUCAAAGAGUCAGACAUGCCCGACUUGUCGCCCUCCUUAGUGGAGUUUAUCACCUCGCCUUAGCCUUUCCCACCCAAACUCCAUCUGCAUAUGACGACAUCCCUUCUCUCCAGGUGGACGUUCCCCACUCCGGUGUCCUUUUCGGCCGACUAGGCAGAUCCAUCGUCAUCCCCUGCUUGGCGUCCUCCACACCUCGCAUGCUGCCGCGGGUGAAAUGGACGCUGCUGUCCGAGGGGCAGGAGACACAAAUCUUGGUGGCGCGGGGCGACAGGGUGAAAGUAAACGAGGCGUACCGAGGCCGUGUGGAUUUGCUCAACAACUCUUCCUCCCCCGGGGACAUGUCACUAUGGAUCUUAGAUUUACGCUCCAGUGACUCGGGUCACUAUCGCUGUGAGGUGCAGCAGGGCCUGGAGGACGCCAGCGAUCUUGUCCAGCUCAAGGUCAAAGGUGUUGUAUUCCACUACAGGAACGCCAUGGGUCGAUAUUCCCUUUCAUUCCAUCAGGCCCAGGCGGCUUGCCAGGCCAUCGGGGCACAAAUUGCAACUGGGAGCCAGCUUCAGGCGGCUUAUUUUGACGGUUAUGAGCAGUGUGACGCAGGCUGGAUAGAAGACCAGACUGUCAGGUACCCCAUCCAAAACCCUCGUGAAGCUUGCUAUGGGGACAUGGACGGGCAACCUGGAGUGAGAAACUAUGGGCUCAUGAAUGCAGAGGAUCAUUAUGAUGUGUAUUGUUAUGUGGAACAAAUGGAUGGGGAGGUGUUCCAUGACCCCGUCCCCCAGCAGCUGUCCUUUGAGGGGGCCCGGUCGUACUGCAGAGCCGCAGGAGCACAGCUGGCCUCGACGGCGCAACUUUACAUGGCCUGGAGUGAAGGUCUGGACCACUGCAGCCCCGGUUGGUUGUCGGACGGCAGCGUGCGAUACCCCAUCAGGACCCCAAGAGAGCGAUGUGGAGGGUCUAGGGCCGGUGUCAAGACCCUGUAUCGCUUCAGCAACCAGACUGUCUUCCCAGAACCGUCCAGCCUUUUUGAUGUAUAUUGUUUUAAAGCUACAGAUGACACAACUGAUUCCACCGUGGACAGCACCACUCCCAAGCCUGGGAGCCUGGAACAAGAUGUUGUCAUUCUAAGGGUAGAAGAUGAAGAACUGCAGCUCAGCCAAAAUUCAGAGCAAAUAGAACGAGAGGUCCAGAGUGUGCUUGAAACUAUCCCCCUCUUCCCUCCUGCUAAAGAAAAUGACCUAGAUGAGCAUCCGACGCUUCUGUCUGACACAUCAGAGAAUCCCUUGAGCACCACGGCCACUUUAGACCUCAUAAGACCUUUUGACAGGACUUCAUCUUCUACAGAAACAAACUAUGAUUCUCAACAUACUACGAGACUGACAAACAGUACUACCCAAAGCACAGAUUCAUACCAGAACUUUACUGGAGGAGAAAGCACAAGGAAGUUUCCCAAGUCUAAUGACACCCAUCCUCAAAACCUAACAGAAACAGACACCAUCACCAAAGAGAGCACAGAGCCAUUAGACAGGGCAAAGCUACUCCUGGAAACCAACUUAUAUUUUAACGGUACUGAGAUGUACGAGACUCAAGAGGAGAUCCUGGAAGCUCCCCCUGUCACUCUUGACCCCACGCAAACCGUGAAGCAAGUGGAGAAAGGAGAACCUGCAACACAAACGACUGAACAACCUGCAGAUCUGACAUCAUUGUGGAGCCCGAUGAGUGGAUCUGGGGAUGCUUCUCAAGAAAGUCAUCAGGAAGGCACAGUUUUUAAGUUCAUUCCAACAUCCACCACCCACCGGACACCUCCUGUGUCAACUGGCAGUUCUCCUCCAGAGUCGUUCACAAGUGUCACAGGUCCAACCACCACAUCUAGAUCCAAGCAUUCGCACAGUCUUGCAUCGGAUAAUCUUCUAGAGUUCCUUUCUACAGUGGUGGAGGGAAGCACAAGCUUGGAAUUCGAAGACACCAUAGAUAGUGUGGAAAGACAGCUUCUUCCGACGAGGGUGAUCCAUUUUAGAGCAAGCUCGCCUACCACCGAAGCUCUGGAGAGGCCUACUGACUUAAUCACAGCAAUCUAUCAGCCAUCAGGUCACGGUGCGUUCUUUGACAUGUCCACCACGAGUUAUGAGGAGGCAAGUGGACUUGAGCCUGAUGUAGCUUCGGCACUAACUAAAGAGCAUAUUGCAUCAACUGUCAAGGACAAUGUUGUUGAGGAUGCUACGGAGGCUCCGGCCAUUGAAGACGUUAAGGUUGUCCGAAUGUUUGCACAGAAUUUUAGACCCAACAAAGCUUUUGGUAAGGAAGAAGAACAAGAAGAUAACGUCACCGUAUACCCCAAAGAAGUAACACCAAUGUUUGAAGAGUCUAAUGCUACUCGAAACCCAAAUGGCUCUACUGCAACAUUCAUAUUUGAAGACGGUGAUGUGCCUGCAAACCCAAAAGAAGAAGCAGCUACAACAACACCGAUAUUUGACGUGGAGACUAAAGAUAUGCUAACCCCCAAAGAAGGAACUGAAAUGAACCCAAUAUUUCAAGAGCUGGCUAAAGCUAAUGUUACACUAUCAUUUACAGAAGCUACAGCUACUUUACGCCCAAAAGAAGAAGCUACCGUAACACCUGUAUUUGACGAGGAGGCUAAAACUACGCUAACGCCUGAAAAAAGAUCUGACAUUAUGCCUAUAUUUGAAGAGGAGACUAAAGCUAUACUGAAUUUUGAAAAAGCAUCUAAAGUUACCCAACGAUACGAAGAGGCAAUUAACAUUUCUGCUAAAAUUGAAGAAGUAGGUACCAUAACACCAGCAUAUGAAGAGGAGAAUAAAGCUAUGCUGAAUCUUGUUAAAGUAACGCAAACAUUUGAAGAGGAGGAGGCUAACGUUACUGCUAACUCUAAAGAGGUAGCUACCAUAACACCAGCAUAUGAAGAGGAAGUUAAAGCUAUGCUUAAUCUUGAAAGGGCAACUAAAGUAAUGCAAAGAUAUGAAGAGGAGGCUAACUUUACUGCUAACUCUGAAGCGGCAGGUACCACAAUAUCAUCUUAUGAAGAGGAGGCCACAGUCGUUUCUGAAAAAGAAGCUAAAAUCAUCCCAGUCUUUAGACAUUUUGUUACUCCAACCUUUCAAGACAAAGAAACCACGAGCUCCGAGGUGGAGGUUAGCAUCACCCCCAUAUUUAGCGAGGACACUACAGAGGUGACAACCCCUGACGAUGAAACUUCCACCGGCCCGGGGUUUGACGAGAAGAUUACUGUCUUUCCUCUCAAUUCCAAAUCAUCAAACUGGGCUCUGCUGACCACCACAACUAGACCCCAAGAGUCUCUUAAGGAUCUGGAAAUCAGCACCAAAUCCACAGCCAUCUCUUCCACAGCAGUUCCACAGUCGUCCUCCGCUACAGAGGCCACCAAGAUGGCUGCCACCAGGACAACAACAUGGUGGUCUAAACGCACUUGGAGCCCAACCACCUCUGCACCCAAAGUCCUCCACUGGACAUCGGAACCUCUCAAAGUGACAAGGAUGGAUGUUGACUUUAGCCCCACCCAGGCUCCCACCCACCAUGUUUUGCAUAAUGAGAGGGCAGCUGUGGGCGGUAAAGUAAGAAUAGCAGAUGCUUGCUUCCAUGACCCCUGUCUCAACGGGGGCACCUGCAUCGAACGAGACGGACGGAUUCAGUGCCUGUGUUUGCCGACUUAUGGAGGAGACUUCUGCAACACGGACCUGGAGAGGUGCGAGCCAGGCUGGGACAAGUUUCAUGGCUUCUGCUACCGGCACUUCGGCCAGCGUCUGAGCUGGGAGGUGGCCGAGCAGCACUGCCGCAUGCAGGGGGCUCACCUGGUCUCCAUCAUGACUCCCGAAGAGCAGACCUACAUCAACAAUAACUAUAAAGAAUACCAGUGGACCGGCUUGAACGAUAAGACCAUUGAGAAUGAUUUUCGGUGGUCUGAUGGCAACCCUUUGUUGUAUGAGAACUGGUACAGAGGGCAGCCUGACAGCUACUUCCUGUCUGGGGAAGACUGCGUGGUGAUGGUGUGGCAUGACGAUGGCCGCUGGAGCGAUGUUCCCUGCAACUACCACCUGGCCUACACUUGCAAGAAAGGCACCUCCUCAUGCGGCCCACCACCCAGGGUUCGGAACGCAUCAACAUUCGGAAAGCCUCGUCAGCGCUACGAGACCGAUGCUGUCAUACGUUAUCACUGCACUCAGGGCUUCCAGCAGAGACUGAACCCUCUGAUCAGGUGUCUGUCUGGCGGUGGAUGGGAGAGGCCCCAAAUUCAGUGCAUCCCGGAGUAUGGAGGUCUGAACCCUGACCCAGAAAUGACAUCGUCAACUGAUGGCAAUUUGGCCGCCCUUCAAGAUGGAUUUGAAUCCACCACUGAGUCACCACUUUACUGGGACAUCAAGUUUUAAAAGUCCCCUACAUUCUGCUGUUUUAACUUGACAAGACAAAAAAAAGCCUGCAGCUGGGAUGGAUGGAUGGUUGUAUGUAUGGCUUCCAGUCCCAGUUCUCACCGGUUAGACUCCCGUUGACGUGUCGGGUCUGCUGACAGGCGACAAAGAAUGCGCACAUCGUUGGACCCCUCCCUGAGUGCAGGAUGAAGGUAUGCAUCGAACUGAUGUUCAUGCUGCAGCCAUAAUGGAGGUAAAGAUGCAUGUUUUGGCCGCCACGUGCAUGCACCUUCCAAAUAUAUGGACAUUUGCCAUCACAUCUUUUAGAAUACGUGGGGAACGGUGUGCUUGUUUUCAAAAACACAGGAAGCACACAUACAGAAGAGCCAGUCUCUGUCUCUUUGUGCCUUUCCAGGGUGAGGGUGCAAAUGCCAUGAUGAAAUGGUCUAUAAUUCAAAUGCAACCGCAUUUUCACUCCAUUAAACAGCUACAUAAAUCUUUGGAACGUCUCAAGAGUGCACCAUUUGAUCUGCUUUUGAUGAUACAUUCAUAGAUUUGUAUUCAUGUGUUUUAUUGUCUUUUAGGAACGAUAUGUGCAUUUACGUAUAGCUCACAAACUUAGAAUGCAUUAUUCAAAAUCACUGUAGUUUAUUGAGGAAUCUAGUGAUAGAGCUAAAAUUCAAUAAAAUAUAUUAAACAUUUCUAAAUGGGCUUUUUUUAAAUGGAAAAGGUGACUGAUGACAAUAAUAAACAAGCAAAUGCAAAGAAAUAACACAUAAAUGCACACUUGACUGUAACGCCAGAGCAACAAGUGUUGCUUUCAGAUCAAAAUUGAAAAAAUAUACAUAUAUAUCAAUAUAAGGAUAAUACUUUGUGAUAAAAUAUAUGCAUACAAGCACAAUACUUAAAAAAAAAUUGAAUGAUGAGUUUAAUGAUAUAGUACUACUGAUUAUUUGCAAAGGGUGUGAGACACAAGCUGGUUUCUUUCCAUCAGUGACUUUUCUCCAAGUGUUUUCAAAUAUUUGGGCUUGACGACAGAGAUAAGUUAAUAUAUUUACAUUUCCCAACACCUGUCUUAAAUAGUAAAAGAAAAUUUGGUUAAUUUGUAAUUUGGCAGAAUUUCUUGAACAUACUAAUCAAUUUUUACUCAAAUGUUAUUGUGUCUUGGCUGCUAAUCGUUUACGUAUUUUGGACUAAAUAAAAUCAUAUUUUCAUAUUUUUUAAAUUUUUGUGCGUUUCUAUAACAAAUGUCGUUGGAAAUUGAAUUGUACAUUUAUGUCUUUGCUUAACUUUUGGGGGAAAAAAAACGUUCAAGGCAAUUUACCUUCCAGACUUUUCUUGUUGAAGAUUCUGGAACUAACUACAAGUCGUUCAUCAACAAAUUAUGAGUAGAAUUGAUGUAAUUUUUAGGUUUGUUGACACCAUGACGUUAAUGUGUGCAUCAUUUAAAAGGGUCAUUUAUCGUUUUAAAUAAACGAGUGUUGGUUUCAUCCUGCACAAUGCUACCAUCGUGUGGACGAUUCAUGCAUUACAUUGCUUGAAAUGCUGUUUGGCUGUAUACCGCCCUCACCUGGCCAAAGUGUGUAAAACAGGGACUUUCACAGUGCUAAAUGUAAUGUAGUAAAUAAUGUGUUUUUUUUUGCAUAUAUGAAUGCAGCAGCAGCUUUGUAUCAUACGUUUAUUAUGUGAUGAAAUGUGUUUAUUAUAAUAUGAAUACCCUUGUGCUAUAUUAAAUGUAGUUUAAGCAUAAGUUGCACAAAUAGUGUGAUGAAGAUGGUUUUUAAUGGCUAUUGGAGAAAUUCCCUAGUGGUAUUGCAGGCCAUGCAAAAAAGAACACUUGGUUUAUGCUUCUGCCUGCACACAAUAAGAUGACAACAGAUUACUUCCACUGUAAUGUUAACAAUAACUGCAUGCAAAGAGGCAACAGACAACGUUUCUCUUGCUACUUGUGUGAACAUGACAGCUUUUAAAUAGCAGUGUGAGGGAUUGUGCUAUAGUUAUUCAAGUGAUUGACACCUUGUUAAAAUUGCAUUAUGCUUUAAAAUGCAUUGACUGUGUGUGUUUCCACUGUGACAACAGUGAGCAUUGUAAAGGCAGCAUUUUUGAUUGCUUGGGACCCCAGUUGAGUGAAAUCAAAGCAAUGAGAGCUUAUUAAACAGGUUAUACUGUUGAUAAACACUGCACAGGCCCCACUGUGACCUUUUUGUUUGGAUCGUGACCUAUUAA